GGUUUCGUGUGAACAGUGGUUGAUCACGAGUUAGUCGGUCCUAAGUUCAAGGCGAAAGCCGAAAAUUUUCAAGUAAAAAAUCAAUAAGCAUAUAUUGUCAAAUCUUUAAUGAUUUUUUUGAAACACUUGAAUAAUUUUGAACGAAAGGGAAUACGGUUCUAAUUCCGUAACCUGUUGAGUAUCCGUUUGUUAUUAAAUAUGGGCCUCGUGCUCAUCCUGGCAACAGGAACGACCAUAAAGAAGCCGUCGAGAGAUAUCGGAAGAGUUUUCUUUUCUGUUUUAUAGCCGUACUACCAUGGAAGUCUUUCGCAGAGAGAUAUGGUAGAUGGGCUAGAAGAGCAUGACAUAUACUGUUGUGUNCUAAAGUAGAUGAUUUAUAUUACUUGUGAUAUAAAUUUUGAAACUUUAGUGAGUAGGAAGGUAC
rnacentral:rRNA from 1 species